GUGAGGACUGGUGUCCAUACGUUUAACAGGGCUAAUUUCAACUACAAACUAACAAAAUUAACAUUUAGUUCCAGAAAUGUUAGGACUGCUGGCCUAACGUUUAAAAGUGCGAAUUUCAACUUUGAGGUGAAUUUCGUCUAGACCAGCCAGAAUACAACGCGAGUUGAUUAUAGCAACUUGGUAUGAACUUUGAACUAUUAUACACUAAAGAAUAAGUGAUACCUCCUAGAUGUCGAGUUAUCAGCUGCAGCUGUAAACGUACGUCACCUAGGACGAGGACAAACAAUCUCUGAAGAACGACAGGGUGCUUUAACGUAUCCGCUCUACAGCACUACGACCAGAAAGAUUCUUCAAAGGACAAUGGUGAUGUCUGCUGGGUAAAGCCGUCUUCCAGCUCUCAUCCAUCUAUCAAGGCGCAGCUCAGAGAAACUGACUGGAAGCAGGCUUUAAAAAAAUAAAUCAUGGAAGAGGUUAAGGACCAGAUGAAGGCGCUCACAAGUGACAUCAUCCAGGAGCUGAAACCAUUUCAAAGAGCUGACCCCACUGUGGCCGAAUGGAGGAAGCCAUCGUCCUACUCUAACAUAUGGGCUGAAGCAGCAUUUCCAGCUCUGUGAUCAGGCCUUUGAACUGGAUCCUGUUCUCCGGGUCAUUCUCCCAACACCUCCUCAGGGAGUAUACCUGCGCACACGCACGCACGCACGCACGCACACACACACAGAAAAGAAAGGGAGAGAGAUAUGUAUGAGUAUGUUGCACGUCACUAAUUC
rnacentral:lncRNA from 1 species